rnacentral:rRNA from 1 species
ACUGAGACACGGCCCAGACUCCUACGGGAGGCAGCAGUGGGGAAUAUUGGACAAUGGGCGAAAGCCUGAUCCAGCGACGCCGCGUGAGUGAAGAAGGCCUUCGGGUUGUAAAGCUCUUUCGGUAGGGAAGAUAAUGACGGUACCUACAAAAGAAGCUCCGGCUAACUUCGUGCCAGCAGCCGCGGUAAUACGAAGGGAGCUAGCGUUACUCGGAAUUAUUGGGCGUAAAGCGUACGUAGGCGGCUUAGUAAGUUGGGAGUGAAAUCCUUGGGCUUAACCUAAGAAUUGCUUUCAAAACUACUAAGCUAGAGUAUCAGAGGGGAUGGCGGAAUUCCUAGUGUAGAGGUGAAAUUCGUAGAUAUUAGGAGGACCACCGGUGGCGAAAGCGGCUAUCUGGCUGAUUACUGACGCUGUUGUACGAAAGCGUGGGGAGCAAACAGGAUUAGAUACCCUGGUAGUCCACGCAGUAAACGAUGAGUGCUAGAUGUUGGGGUUUUUCCUCAGUGUCGCAGCUAACGCGUUAAGCACUCCGCCUGGGGAGUACGGUCGCAAGAUUAAAACUCAAAGGAAUUGACGGGGACCCGCACAAGCGGUGGAACAUGUGGUUUAAUUCGAUGCUACGCGAAAAACCUUACCAGAUCUUGACAUGAUAGUUGUACAGCUAGGAAACUAGCUGCUCGGUUCGGCCGGGCUAUCACAGGUGUUGCAUGGCUGUCGUCAGCUCGUGUCGUGAGAUGUUGGGUUAAGUCCCGCAACGAGCGCAACCCUUACCCUUAGUUGCCAUCAGGUAAAGCUGGGAACUUUAAGGGAACUGCCGGUGAGAAACCGGAGGAAGGUGGGGAUGAUGUCAAGUCAGCAUGGCCCUUAUGGUCUGGGCUACACACGUGUUACAAUGGUGGCUACAAUGAGAUGCAAAGAGGUGACUCGGAGCAAACCUAUAAAAGCCAUCCCAGUUCGGAUUGUACCCUGCAACUCGGGUGCAUGAAGUUGGAAUCGCUAGUAAUCGCAGAUCAGCACGCUGCGGUGAAUACGUUCCCGGGUCUUGUACACACUGCCCGUCACGCCAUGGGAGUUGAUUUUACCUGAAAUAGGUGGGCUAACCGCAAGGAGGCAGCUUAUCACGGUAAGGUUGAUGACUGGGGUGAAGUCGUAACAAGGUAGCCGUAGGGGAACCUGCGGCUGGAUUACCUCCUUA